AUCCUUCCUGUUGUUAUUCUGUUUAGUAUGACAGGGACCGCAUGUUCAGACAAUCGCUAUACGUGCUCAGUUGACAGACCGAUGAUGCUAAGCGACCAUCUGAUGGACUAAGUCUGAUCGCCUCUAAGUCUGUAAUCACGACCAUACUUGCAAGGGUAUAUCCCCUAUCCGUCAUGUGGCUGGACAAGCUUACGUAUUCCUUUUGACGUCUUGAUUGGAAGAUUUGUUAAACUAGGCCUAUCGGGUCUGGUGUUGUGACAGAUCGAUGAGCAUAAACUAUGUGUUGGAUCUUGGGAUGUAGGGGUCGACACAGUAUCUAAUUGUCGUAUGAGCUUAAGGAUUCUAAGGUGUUUCCAGACAACUUAGUGUUUUGUCCGGAAGACGUCAGUGCUUGAGUGGCAAUCACACUAUGAGCCAUUGAGUCCUAUCCCUGCUUGACGUAACUU
rnacentral:ncRNA from 1 species